UACGUAGGGUGCGAGCGUUGUCCGGAAUUAUUGGGCGUAAAGGGCUCGUAGGCGGUUUGUCGCGUCGGGAGUGAAAACACCGGGCUUAACUCGGUGCUUGCUUUCGAUACGGGCAGACUAGAGGCAUGCAGGGGAGAACGGAAUUCCUGGUGUAGCGGUGAAAUGACGCAGAGUAUCAGGAGGAACACCGGUGGCGAAGGCGGUUCUCUGGGCAUGUCCUGACGCUGAGGAGCGAAAGUGUGGGGAGCGAACAGG
rnacentral:rRNA from 1 species